ACACUUCAAUCUGCUGGAAUAUUGUGUACCAUAAAGAUGGGGUUGCCUAGCACAGCUUUCCACUGUUUGAGGAGGAAACAAAAUUAUUUUGCAAAUUGAACUUUAGCCCAUUAGUUAAGCCACUUUAGAACAGCCAUGGGGCAAGAAAGAUGAGGAUACCCUCAAGAUUGUAGAGCACAAGGCAAUGGACUGAAAUCCUGAAGGGAACAGAAGCAUUCCUAGUUUGCUAAAGCCAAGUGGAGCAGCCUUCCAUUUGCAGUCUUCAGGUGACAGACCCAUGCAACUUGGAACAUUCUGAGGCCUCCACUGUCAGAAAAGCAAUACAGAUGCACACAAGGUCUUUGUUUAUAUUGUGGGACUUUGGAACAGUUUGUACUAGCUUGCCUCAUCAUGCUUUCCUGCCCUGAAUCAACUGUGAAGUGUUGAAGCUAUGGGCUGAAGUGUUGCAAGUCAGUUCCCAGCUUUGCAAGAUCUGUUUGUUGGGAAACAGUAGCCCUCCCCUACAUGAGCUCAGAGUUGAGGAUCUGACAAGGGGAGUUCAGAUAUAGAAUGCUCAGCAAUGACAUUUGAUAAUACCGGUUACUCUUUGCUCUCAAACUGUAUCUGUAAUAAAACUUAAAGCCCUGGU